rnacentral:sRNA from 1 species
AACUGCAAUUUUCUGGAUUGACUCUUUUCAGGAUAAUAAUUGGGAAUAGUAAACUUGAUCCUGAACAACAUAAAAAAAUCUCUCGACUAUCGAAAAGCCUCAUUAAAAUUCCAACCCACUUGCCAUCCUACUCUAUUCUGGUAGACAGAGAAAGAGAGGAGCAGUAUCCUCAUUGGAGAAACUUCAGGGGCCCCUUAAUCUCCUAAGCCCUCUUGUGAAUGCACAGUAGGUAGGAUCUGCUGAUCUUAUUGGUGUAAGCAAAAUACAUCAGCCUUGGCUGAUCAGUAUCACACCCCUUGCACACCAAUUAGCUGCUAUUGUGUAAUGGAGGCCAUACUUGGCGAUGGAGUGCAAACAGGACUGCAAACAAAUGCCAAGUCUUAAGAGGUCUGGCACUUGGCUAUUGGAGUGAGCACUUGUCAAUGAGAGAAAAUUUGAAUCUACAUCAGAAACAGGUAAAAUUUUUGUUCGCCUACCCAAAUUUCUCAAAAUGGCAAACCUUACCGUAUGUAUGUUUUCCAUCUUCACAGUACCUCCUCAAAACAUGAGAAUAGCUAUAUAGCUAUACAUCCAUCUAGAAAUGUUAAAGAAGGGGAAAACAUCAUGAUUAUAUAUGAAACUUCUAGUCAUCCACCUGCAGUGAUUAUCCUGAAAAGAAUUGAUCUAGCCAAUGAAGUUACUGUGUGUUCAAAGAAGGGAACAUUUACUUUGUAUCAUGUCACUCAAAAUGACUCAGGGGUAUAUGUAAUCAGUGCUUCCAAUGAGGUUGGGGAUGAUUCUGGACAGAUUGCAAUCUCAGUUAUGAGUAGGUUGAAUUUAUUCAUCCCUAUUUUCUUUAAUCCUUAAUGCCUCUGGGCCACCUUUAAUUAAGCCUAGCCCUGGGAAAUUGGUCCCCUAACAUUUCUGUAAUUCUUUUGUUAAUUAAUUGUGACCUUUUAAAGACACAUCAAACCUGCUUCUCUACUUUUUGACUCUGUCUCACACACAUUGCUUUAUUUUCUAAUUGCUUUAUCAAAUUAGCCACUUACACAGUUGCUACUUUUUACUCAUUUAAAUGAACAAUCAAAGAAUAUUAAGCACUUAGCUAGAAACUCAUGCCCCCAAACUGAAUAUAAUUUAAACUAGCUAAAUUUUAACAAAGACCAAAAAAUGGAUAUUUUUCUGGGUAUUUUGAACUAUAUUUCUUUUGCAUUUGGCUGGAUUUUUUAUUUGUUUUAUUUCAUCUUAGCUUGAACGUAUUCCAUUAAUAGAAAUCAUCAGGAUUUUUAAAAGAUAUUCAGUGUUUAUACGACAAAUAGAAAAUUGUAUUUGAAGGUUGUCCUGGCAACUACCUUGGCAGCAAAUUUGUAUUUUUCUGCCAAUGCCUGUGGGGAAGACUGAAAGGCCAAAGAUAAUGUAUAUUACAUUGAAAAGAAAGAAAGAAAAGAAAUAGAAAUAGUAUUUCUGUUUCUCAGCAUGUCAUCAAUAUUGAUGCCUAUCCAUAAUCAUGCUGAUGGACAUCCCAUUCAAAUAUUACCCUUAUACUUUGACUAGCUCAGCUCUAGCAAGGGAAAGUCAAAAAGUGAGACAAUUAUCAUUAUGCUUAGGGUGUACUGUUUUUCUUCAAUAAUUUGAAAAAGUGACUUCACAUCAUCUGAUGCUCGUGAUUCUUUUUACUUGGUUGACCUCCAGUGAUUAGAAAGCUCUGGAAAGAAUGUAGUAAUCACCAAAGUCAGAUCUCUAGCUUCUGCCAGGACUGAGACAAUGUAUAUGCCACUUAGUGAAACUUAAUACUUGUGUGGUCACAUGAUGCUGUGCAAAGUAUAAACAGAAGUGAGUCUUCAGUAAAUGACACACUAUCUUCUUCAGCUGCUCUUAUAAAGUUAAGAUGUUAAGCAGUAUAGCAGCUGUCAGAUGAUUUUUUAGCAGAUUAGAAAGAAUAUUAAUUUUAAAGUUUUUGUAUGCUGUUACCUACUGUACUCCAUUUACAACUAAGUGGCAAAAGCAAAAUGUAGAAAGAAAAAAAUGUUAUUAGUGUUUAAAAAAUAUUUUUUUGGUGCCAUCUAGGCCAAGCAGUGAGUCAGGUGCUGGCUGUUCAGUGAUGGACUAAAAAGAAAAUAGAUAUACAUGUCUUGAUGUAAUUUUUAGCUUAGGGGAGGAAACUAAACUUAAUAAGUAAUUACAUGGAUAAAUGUUUAAUUAAAAGCUGUAAUAAGGGUUUUGAAGGGAAAACGAGUGGGUUUUGAGAAUAUAUUGAGGUUCUUAAUUUAGAAUGAGGGAGAUAUAGAUCAGAGAAUGCCUCUAAGAAACAUUUAAGCUGUAACAUAACACUGUCCAAAGAACUCCAGUUUAUCAAAAGAUGAUAUAAAUGCUGAAGAGGACAAACGUAUUAAUGUGCCCUAUUUCUGACAUAAAAAACAUAGAAACUUCUAUAUAUCUCUGAGAAAGCCAUUGGCAAGAUUUUUUUUUCUCUUACGAUCUUAUUUGUGGCAUUUAGCUAUAAUGGUCACACUCUGAAUAUUAUAAGGAUUUUCUUAGAGAACUGGUUAGUCAUUUCAAUUCAUGGUCAUCAGAGUCCCAGUUCUUUAGUAGAUAUUUUUAUUUCCCCAAGCAAGUGCCUCUCUCCAAUUCCUGUUCUUGCCUCUCUCCAAUUCUUGUUCUUGUUAAAAACUUGUACCCUCCCUUCCAUUUUACAACUGAACCUGAAUCUAUUUGAAUCCAAGUUUGUGGAAGCCAACAACUAUCAUCUUUAGAUCCAUCAUGACCAUAGCAAUCACCAACUGAUUAUUUGGAUAAUUCAGACAAACAUGCAUCUUGGGUCCUGAUGGUCCUUAUCACUGCUUUGAUUCCCUUCUCUUUGGAGAACUAGUUGUACUGUUAUAAUAAACAUGUAACUGUUGUUAUUAAAUGCUAUCUUUUUGUACUAGAUAUUAAUUGCAUCCAUUUCGUUAUUUUCCAGGAAGAGAAAACAGCAAAGACUAUUUUUCUCCUGAGCUUCUCGUGCUCUAUUUUGCAUCCUCCUUAGUAAUACCUGCCAUUGGAAUGAUAAUUUACUUUGCAAGAAAAGCCAACAUGAAGGGGUCAUAUAGUCUUGUAGAAGCACAGAAAUCAAAAGUGUAGCUAAUGCUUGGUAUGUUCAACUGGAGACACUAUUUAUCUGUGCAAAUCCUUGAUACUGCUCAUCAUUCCAUGAGAAAAACAAUGAGCUGGGAGGCAGACUUCCCUGAAUGUAUUGAACUUGGAAAGAAAUGCCCAUCUAUGUCCCUUGCUGUGAGCAAGAAGUCAAAGUAAAACUUGCUGCCUGAAAAACAGUAACUGCCAUCAAGAUGAGAGAACUGGAGGAGUUCCUUGAUCUGUAUAUACAAUAACAUAAUUUGUACAUAUGUAAAAUAAAAUUAUGCCAUAGCAAGAUUGCUUAAAAUAGCAACACUGUAUAUUUAGAUUGUUAAAAUAACUAGUGUUGCUUGGACUAUUAUAAUUUAAUGCAUGUUAGGAAAAUUUCACAUUAAUAUUUGCUGACAGCUAACCUUUGUCAUCUUUCUUCUAUUUUAUUCCCUUUAACAAAAUUUUAUUCCUAUAUAGUUUAUUGACAAUAAUUUCAGGUUUUGUAAAGAUGCCAGGUUUUAUAUUUUUAUAGACAAAUAAUAAGCAAAGAGAGCACUGGGUUGGCUUUCAGGUACUAAAUACAUCAACCUAUGGUAUAAUGGUUGACUGGGUUUCUCUGUAUAGUACUGGCAUGGUACGGAGAUGUUUCACGAAGUUUGUUCGUCAGACUCCUGUGCAACUUUCCCAAUGUGGCCUAAAAAUGCAACUUCUUUUUAUUUUCUUUUGUAAAUGUUUAGGUUCUUUUGUAUAGUAAAGUGAUAAUUUCUGGAA